CACUCCUCCUAUUUUUGUGUCAUCUGCAAAUUUAACAAGUUUGCUUACUAUACCAGAAUCUAAAUCAUUAACCCUUUGCGGUCCAUUUAUUCAGCACGUCAGGUCCAAUUUAUUUUCACACGCGCAGUUAAAUUUAGACGUGCUGUUUAAAAGUAUUUUUUUUUCACAGUCAAA